AGAGUUUGAUCCUGGCUCAGAAUCAACGCUGGCGGCGUGCCUAACACAUGCAAGUCGCACGAGAAAGUGGAGCAAUCCAUGAGUACAGUGGCGCACGGGUGAGUAACACGUGACUAACCUACCUCCGAGUGGGGAAUAACCUAGGGAAACCUGGGCUAAUACCGCAUAACACUUACGAGUCAAAGCAGCAAUGCGCUUGGAGAGGGGGUCGCGGCAGAUUAGCUAGUUGGUGAGGUAAUGGCUCACCAAGGCGAUGAUCUGUAUCCGGCCUGAGAGGGCGCACGGACACACUGGAACUGAAACACGGUCCAGACUCCUACGGGAGGCAGCAGUGGGGAAUUUUGCGCAAUGGGGGAAACCCUGACGCAGCAACGCCGCGUGGAGGAUGAAAUCCCUUGGGAUGUAAACUCCUUUCGAUCGGGACGAUUAUGACGGUACCGGAAGAAGAAGCCCCGGCUAACUUCGUGCCAGCAGCCGCGGUAAUACGAGGGGGGCAAGCGUUGUUCGGAAUUAUUGGGCGUAAAGGGUGCGUAGGCGGUUUGAUAAGUCUUGUGUGAAAUCUAUGGGCUCAACCCAUAGUCUGCACAGGAAACUGUCGGGCUUGAGUAUGGGAGAGGUGAGUGGAAUUUCCGGUGUAGCGGUGAAAUGCGUAGAUAUCGGAAGGAACACCUGUGGCGAAAGCGGCUCACUGGACCAUUACUGACGCUGAUGCACGAAAGCUAGGGGAGCAAACAGGAUUAGAUACCCUGGUAGUCCUAGCCCUAAACGAUGAUUGCUUGAUGUGGGGGGUACCCAAUCCUCCCGUGUCGAAGCUAACGCGAUAAGCAAUCCGCCUGGGGAGUACGGUCGCAAGGCUGAAACUUAAAGGAAUUGACGG
rnacentral:rRNA from 1 species